rnacentral:SRP_RNA from 2 species
GCCGGGCAUGGUGGCGCAUGCCUGUAAUCCCAGCUACUCGGGAGGCUGAGGCAGGAGAAUUGCUUGAACCCAUGAGACAGAGGUUGCAGUGAGCCGAGAUUGUGCCACUGCACUCCAGCCUGGGUAACAGAGCAAGACUCCGUCUCAA